UGCCUAAGACAUGCAAGUCGAACGAAGUGACCCAUUGAAGUGGAGUGCUUGACACAAAGCGGAUUUGGAUUUCACUUAGUGGCGCAAGGGUGAGUAACACGUGGGUAAUCUGCCUUUAAGUCUGGGAUAACAAUUGGAAACGAUUGCUAAUACCGGAUUAAAUGCAUGACAUAAAGUUAUGUAGUAAAAGGGGCCUUUAAAGCUUCGCUUAAAGAUGAGCCUGCGGCGCAUUAGCUAGUUGGUAAGGUAACGGCUUACCAAGGCGACGAUGCGUAGCCGAACUGAGAGGUUGAUCGGCCACAUUGGGACUGAGACACGGCCCAAACUCCUACGGGAGACAGCAGUUAGGAAUAUUCGUCAAUGGGGGAAACCCUGAACGAGCAAUGCCGCGUGAAUGAUUGACGGUCCUUUGGAUUGUAAAAUUCUGUUGUUGAGGAAGAACUACUAAUAUAGGAAAUGAUAUUAGUUUGACGGUACUCUUCAAGAAAGCUCCGGCUAACUACGUGCCAGCCGCAGC
rnacentral:rRNA from 1 species